rnacentral:rRNA from 1 species
GACGAACGCUGGCGGCGUGCUUAACACAUGCAAGUCGAGCGGUAAGGCCCUUUCGGGGGUACACGAGCGGCGAACGGGUGAGUAACACGUGGGUGACCUGCCCUCAGCUCUGGGAUAAGCCUGGGAAACCGGGUCUAAUACCGGAUAUGACUCCAUGACGCAUGUUGUGGGGUGGAAAGCCUUGUGCGGCUGAGGAUGGGCCCGCGGCCGUACUCAGCUUGUUGGGUGGGGUGAUGGCCUACCAAGGCGACGACGGGUAGCCGGCCUGAGAAGGGCGACCGGGCCACACUGGGACUGAGACACGGCCCAGACUCCUACGGGAGGCAGCAGUGGGGAAUCUUGCGCAAUGGGCGAAAGCCUGACGCAGCGACGCCGCGUGA